ACUUAAGCAUAUCAAUAAGCGGAGGAAAAGAAACCAACAGGGAUUGCCCCAGUAACGGCGAGUGAAGCGGCAACAGCUCAAAUUUGAAAUCUGGCCCCCCGGCCCGAGUUGUAAUUUGCAGAGGAUGCUUUUGGUGAGGCACCUACCGAGUCCCCUGGAAUGGGGCGCCACAGAGGGUGAGAGCCCCGUAUGGUAGGACGCCGAACCUCUGUAAAGCUCCUUCGACGAGUCGAGUAGUUUGGGAAUGCUGCUCUAAAUGGGAGGUAAAUUUCUUCUAAAGCUAAAUACCGGCCAGAGACCGAUAGCGCACAAGUAGAGUGAUCGAAAGAUGAAAAGCACUUUGAAAAGAGGGUUAAAAAGUACGUGAAAUUGUUGAAAGGGAAGCGCUUGUGACCAGACUUGCGCCGGGCGGAUCAUCCAGCGUUCUCGCUGGUGCACUCCGCCCGGCUCAGGCCAGCAUCGGUUUUCGCCGGGGGACAAAGGCUUCGGGAACGUGGCUCCCUUCGGGGAGUGUUAUAGCCCGUUGCGUAAUACCUCGGCGGGGACCGACGACCGCGCUUCGGCAAGGAUGCUGGCGUAAUGGUCAUCAGCGACCCGUCUUGAAACACGGACCGAGGAGUCAAGCAUUAGUGCGAGUGUUUGGGUGUAAAACCCGCACGCGUAAUGAAAGUGAACGUAGGUGAGAGCUUCGGCGCAUCAUCGACCGAUCCUGAUGUUUUCGGAAGGAUUUGAGUAGGAGCAUUAACGCUUGGACCCGAAAGAUGGUGAACUAUACUUGAAUAGGGUGAAGCCAGAGGAAACUCUGGUGGAGGCUCGCAGCGGUUCUGACGUGCAAAUCGAUCGUCAAAUUUGAGUAUAGGGGCGAAAGACUAAUCGAACCAUCUAGUAGCUGGUUUCAGCCGAAGU
rnacentral:rRNA from 1 species